rnacentral:lncRNA from 1 species
CACCUUUUGUCUGUCAUCUGUCUUUGGUCUAUCUGUCUCUACAUCUCUCUCUGUCAUCUGUCUGUCGUCCAUCUGUCUAUUUGUCAUCUGUUUGUCUGUCUCUCCAUCUGUCUGUCUGUCAUCUGUCAGUCAUCUGUCUGUCGUCCAUCUGUCUAUUUGUCAUCUGUUUGUCUGUCUCUCCAUCUGUCUGUCUGUCAUCUGUCAGUCAUCUGUCUGUCGUCCAUCUGUCUAUGUAUCAUCUGUUUGUCUGUCUGUCCAUCUGUCUAUUUGUCAUCUCUCUGUCUUGUCUCUCCAUCUGUCUGUUUGUCAUCUGUCUAUCUCUCCAUCUGUCUGAUUGUCAUCUAUCUGUCUCUCCAUUUGUCUGUCUGUCUUUCCAUCUGUCUGUCGUCUGUCUGUCAUCUGUCUGUCGUCCAUCUGUCUGUCUCUUCAUCUGUCUGCCCUUCUGUCUGUCUGUCUGUCUGUCUAUCUCUCCAUCUGUAUGUCGUCCAUCUGUCUGUCUGUCUAUCGUCUGUCUGUCGUCUGUCUGUCAUCCAUCUGUCUGUCUAUCGUCUGUCUGUCGUCUGUCUGUCUAUCUGUCUGUCAUCUGUCAGUCAUCCAUAUGUCUGUCUGUCUGUCUGUCAUCUGUCUGUCUGUCGUCCAUCUAUCUGUUGUCUGUCGGUUUGUCAUCUGUCUGUCGUCUGUGACGUCUGUCUGUCAUCCAUCUGUCUGUCCGUCGCCUGUCUGUCUGUCUGUCUGUCUGUCUGUCUGUCUGUCUGUCUGUCUGUCAUCCAUCUGUCUGUCGUCUGUCUGUCUGUCUGUAAUCUGUCUGUCAUCUGUCUGUCGUCCAUCUGUCUAUUUGUCAUCUGUUCGUCUGUCUCUACAUCUGUCUGUCUUCCUUCUCUCUGUCGUCCAUCUGUCUGUCGUCUGUCUGUCAUCUGCCUGUCAUCUGUCUGUUGUCCUUCUGUCGGUCUGUCGUCCAUCUGUCUGUCUGUCUGUCUGUCUGUCUGUCUGUCAUCCAUCUGUCUGUCAUCUGUCUGUCUGUCUGUAAUCUGUCUGUCAUCUGUCUGUCGUCUAUCUGUCUGUCAUCUGUCUGUCGUCUGUCUGUCGUCUGUCUGUCGUCCAUCUCUCUGUCGUCUGUCUGUCGUCCAUCCGUCUGUCUCUCCAUCUGUCUGUCAUCUGUCUGUCGUCCAUCUGUCUGUCGUCUGUCUGUCGUCCAUCUGUCUGUCGUCCAUCUGUCUGUCGUCUGUCUGUCGUCCAUCCGUCUGUCUCUCCAUCUGUCUGUCAUCUGUCUGUCGUCUGUCUGUCUGUCAUCUGUCUGUUUGUCACCUAUCCAUCUGUCUCUCCAUCUGUCUGUCAUCUGUCUGUCAUCUGUCUGUCGUCUGUCUGUCGUCCAUCUGUCUGUCGUCUGUCUGUCGUCCAUCUGUCUGUCAUCUGUCUGUCGUCCAUCCGUCUGUCUCUCCAUCUGUCUGUCAUCUGUCUGUCGUCUGUCUGUCGUCCAUCUGUCUGUCGUCUGUCUGUCGUCCAUCCGUCUGUCUCUCCAUCUGUCUGUCAUCUGUCUAUCAUCUGUCUGCCGUCUGUCUGUCGUCCCAUGUCUGUCGUCUGUCUGUCUGUCAUCUGUCUGUUUGUCUGUCAUCUGUUUGUCGUCCAUCUGUCUAUGUAUCAUCUGUUUGUCUGUCUGUCCAUCUGUCUAUUUGUCAUCUGUCUGUCUGUCUCUCCAUUUGUCCGUCUUUCUGUUUGUCUUUCCAUCUGUCUGUCAUCCAUCUGUCUCUCUCUCCAUCUGUCUGUCUCUCCAUUUAUCUGUCUGUCGUCUGUCUGUCUGUCUCACUAUCUGUCAUCUGUCUCUCUGUCAUCUGUUUAUCUUUCUCUCUUUCCAUCUGUCAUCUUUCUCUCUCUGUCUGUCUCUCUAUCUGUCUCUCAUCUGUCUGUCUCUCAUCUGUCUCUCUCUAA